AGUGAACGCUGGCGGUAGGCCUAACACAUGCAAGUCGAACGGAAGCACAGUAAGAGCUUGCUCUUACGGGUGGCGAGUGGAGGACGGGUGAGGCAUACAUCGGAAUCUACUUUUUCGUGGGGGAUAACGUAGGGAAACUUACGCUAAUACCGCAUACGACCUACGGGUGAAAGCAGGGGAUCUUCGGACCUUGCGCGAUUGAAUGAGCCGAUGUCGGAUUAGCUAGUUGGCGGGGUAAAGGCCCACCAAGGCGACGAUCCGUAGCUGGUCUGAGAGGAUGAUCAGCCACACUGGAACUGAGACACGGUCCAGACUCCUACGGGGGGCAGCAGUGGGGAAUAUUGGACAAUGGGCGCAAGCCUGAUCCAGCCAUACCGCGUGGGUGAAGAAGGCCUUCGGGUUGUAAAGCCCUUUUGUUGGGAAAGAAAAGCAGCAGGUUAAUACCCCGCUGUUCUGACGGUACCCAAAGAAUAAGCACCGGCUAACUUCGUG
rnacentral:rRNA from 1 species